UACGUAGGGUGCGAGCGUUAAUCGGAAUUACUGGGCGUAAAGCGUGCGCAGGCGGUUCGUUGUGUCCGAUGUGAAAGCCCCGGGCUUAACCUGGGAAUGGCAUUGGAAACUGGCGAGCUUGAGUGCGGCAGAGGGGGGUGGAAUUCCGCGUGUAGCAGUGAAAUGCGUAGAGAUGCGGAGGAACACCGAUGGCGAGGGCAGCCCCCUGGGUCGACACUGACGCUCAGGCACGAAAGCGUGGGGAGCAAACAGG
rnacentral:rRNA from 1 species